rnacentral:rRNA from 1 species
CCGGCGCACGGUGAGUAACGCGUAUGCAACUUGCCUAUCAGGAGGGGAUAACCCGGCGAAAGUCGGACUAAUACCGCAUGAAGCAGGGGCCCCGCAUGGGGAUAUUUGCUAAAGAUUCAUCGCUGAUAGAUAGGCAUGCGUUCCAUUAGGCAGUUGGCGGGGUAACGGCCCACCAAACCGACGAUGGAUAGGGGUUCUGAGAGGAAGGUCCCCCACAUUGGACUGAGACACGGCCAA